GGUGCUUAAGGCCAGGUGGGAUGGGGCCCUGGGCAGCUUCAGCUGGUGGGGAGCAGCCAGCCCAUGGCACGGGGUUGGGGCUGUGUGGUCUGUAAGAUCCCUUCCAACCCAAACCAUUCUAUGGUUCCAUUUUAAAACAGCUAGAAAGGAUGGAAAAAUAACUGCAUGUGCUGCUACAGACUGCAGUCUAAUAAGGAAAAUUCUUUUAAUAUGGGUCUUCGUCAAAGUCACAGUUGGAUGUUUGACACAAUACCUCCACAUCCACGGUAGCACAGAGAUAUUUGCAUGCCAAGCACAGCAUUUAUGGCACAGGGGAAGGGCCUGGCCUGAUAGCAGGCGCAGCUGUGAAGUUUAAGUACUGCUCAAGACCUGGAUCACCUCCUACGUGACUCUACUCCACACAUUUGCUCUUUAAGUCUCAUAGAGCAGUGAACUAAAAUUUGGAAUAAAGGUUUUGCAUUUGGUGGAAAUAAGUAACAUGUGUUAUACCUACAGGGUUUUCUUAUGCCUCUGUUCUUUGCUUCCUAUCCAGUUCUCCUGAGUAAGGUACAUGAAGACCAACGUGCACCUUUUUCCUGUGAAUUUUCUGAGACGAUCUUCUGAAGCUUUUCUUUAUGAUGACAGUAGGAAUAAUAUCUGGAGCUAGCCUAACUCCAGUAAAGGAGAAGAGCAGUCGAACUAUGCAGGGCAAGGAAGUCGUGGGAGAUAGCAGUUUCUCCACAAAGAUCAAAGUACCAAAUGGAAAUCAAGAGCAAUGGACUCCUUAUUUUGACUUCAGUUUAUAGUGAAAGCUCACAGAUACUUUGGUAAUGAGUGGGAGGGAUUUUCAGGUAGGUAACUUCUUGCUGUUGUACUGUGACAAAAACGGGGUUGCUGGCUAAGUGCAGUUGUGAUUUUUACACUUUACAGAGGUGAUGCCACAACUGUUUGUAACAGCAUAGAAGAGGAAACAGUGUUGAAAAAUGUGGACUCAGUAUUUACUCAGUGAAAGUUUUAACUGCUAUGGUUUUCCAACGUCUCAUCAAUGAGACUGUCAUCUCUCCCCGUUGGCUUUCUUUAUCAGCUGUCUUCCUUUCUCACAGUGCUUGAGUAAUGUUAACUUAGGUUACACCCAGAACAGAAAUUCCCAGCCUGUACUUAGUUUGAUGUCUGCUGUGUUUAGAUCCAUCUUGUAAAAAUUUUUAUUACCCACCCCAAAGGUCUUAUU